UAUUACUACCACUGUUUGAAGCUUUGAGCGU
rnacentral:piRNA from 1 species